CGGCAGGCCUAACACAUGCAAGUCGAACGGUAGCACAGAGAGCUUGCUCUCGGGUGACGAGUGGCGGACGGGUGAGUAAUGUCUGGGAAACUGCCUGAUGGAGGGGGAUAACUACUGGAAACGGUAGCUAAUACCGCAUAAUGUCGCAAGACCAAAGAGGGGGACCUUCGGGCCUCUUGCCAUCAGAUGUGCCCAGAUGGGAUUAGCUAGUAGGUGGGGUAACGGCUCACCUAGGCGACGAUCCCUAGCUGGUCUGAGAGGAUGACCAGCCACACUGGAACUGAGACACGGUCCAGACUCCUACGGGAGGCAGCAGUGGGGAAUAUUGCACAAUGGGCGCAAGCCUGAUGCAGCCAUGCCGCGUGUAUGAAGAAGGCCUUCGGGUUGUAAAGUACUUUCAGCGGGGAGGAAGGUGUUGUGGUUAAUAACCGCAGCAAUUGACGUUACCCGCAGAAGAAGCACCGGCUAACUCCGUGCCAGCAGCCGCGGUAAUACGGAGGGUGCAAGCGUUAAUCGGAAUUACUGGGCGUAAAGCGCACGCAGGCGGUCUGUCAAGUCGGAUGUGAAAUCCCCGGGCUCAACCUGGGAACUGCAUUCGAAACUGGCAGGCUGGAGUCUUGUAGAGGGGGGUAGAAUUCCAGGUGUAGCGGUGAAAUGCGUAGAGAUCUGGAGGAAUACCGGUGGCGAAGGCGGCCCCCUGGACAAAGACUGA
rnacentral:rRNA from 1 species